rnacentral:ncRNA from 2 species
CAUUAAUUAAAUAGUUUCACUCAUAUAAUCGCAGGGAUAUGGCCUGCAAGUUUCUACCGAAGCCCCGUAAAGGCUUCGACUAUGAGUGUCGAUAUAUUUGUG